GAACAACGUACAAACCUUAUCGAUAAACAAUUGGAGGGCAAGUCUGGUGCCAGCAGCCGCGGUAAUUCCAGCUCCAAUAGCGUAUAUUAACGUUGUUGCAGUUAAAAAGCUCGUAGUUGAAAUGAAGGGUAGUUGUGUAAUGAAUACAUUCGUGUAUUUUGUUAUUCUACUACCCUCCUUCUAAAUUCGAUAUAUGAGUAUUAAUUUACUUGUAUAUGGUUUUAGACCUUUACUGUGAGAAAAUUAGAGUGUUCAAAGCAGGCAUUUGCUUGAAUAUAUUAGCAUGGAAUAAUCAUGUAUGAUUUUCAUGAUGUAUUUGAUUGGUUUGGUUCAUGAGAAUAAGAUUAAAAGGGACAG
rnacentral:rRNA from 1 species